rnacentral:sRNA from 1 species
GAGGCUUCGGCAAGAGGAUGAGAGGCUGUGGCAGCAGGAGACUCUGCAGGAGCUGGAGAGGCUGCGGGAGCUGGAGAGGAUGCUGGAGCUGGGGUGGGAAGCCCUCUACGAGCAGCGGGCCGAGUCACGCAGCGGCUUCGAGGAGCUGAACAACGAGAACAAGAGCACACUGCAGUUGGAGCAGCAAGUAAAGGAGCUGAAGAAGUCGGGUGAGCUGAAAGAGACUGUAACCUCCGACCCAUCCAAGAAGAUGUGGGAGGCGGGCACCAGCCUCUGGGGAGGGGAGGUGCCAGGCCACAGGCAGCUGCAGCCUGGGGACAGGUGACCCCAGCACCCUCCGGGGCAGUCCUAUGACUGUUUCUUGCUUCCUGCCCUCUGACUUUUAGAGGUGGGUAGCCCUGGGGUCCUCCCAGGUCUGGACAUCAUCAUCCCAGCUAGAGGCAUGGAGCCCC